UGAAAAUCGCCCCCCUUCUCGCGCCUUCCCGCCACACCUGCUCCUGGGGCCCACCUGGAAGGCAGAGCGCUCGCCCGGAGUCUCCCCCUCUUGGCGCCCCCCAUUUACCCGGCCUGACACUGAGCCCUGUCAUCGCUGCGGGAAGAUAAUCGUGCAGUUUGCGCGGUGCAUUGGGCUCAGGGAGCCGGAGGUUUCAAGCCAAUUUCACCGUUUCUCGGGUCAGGUUUUUUAACUUAACUGGAGGAGAGGUCCUCAUUACAUGAGGCAGACACGGUAAUACAGACCGACAUUUCUCAGACUCGACUACCCUGGGGAUCGUGUUUAACUGCGGGUGGUGAUUCAGCGGGUCUGGGACGAAGCCCGAGAUUCUGCAUUUCUGUAAAAAGCCCCCGGGUGAAACCGCUGGGUCAGGGCCGCUGUGCGGAAAGGCUGCAGGUAAAAUUUAGCGCAAAACAGCCCCACCUUGAGCGUUUGGGUAAGACGCACGUGGUUGGGCCCCACCCCCCGGGCUGCUGAGGCCGGAGGUCUGGAGUGAGUGAUGCUGCUGCUGCUGUCUGAGGUCUACACUUAGCGAGCCAAUGCUGAAGACUGUCUAAAUACAUGGCCAGAAACAAACAAAAAACACUAGUAAUUAGCACUCUCAGAGCACCUUCCAUCUUGAAACCACUGUGGUGGUUGCUGUUUCCACCGAAUAACUGACUAGUUCCCCCAAGCAACUCUCGAGAGAGCUGAAGAACCAUGGACUGUGUCUGACCUGACAUGGGGAGGAGGAGAUUUUAUCAUCGGAAUUUUCGUCUGUUUCACACAGUUUGGGGAACUCCAUGUUGUGUUCUGAUCCUCACUGAAGAUGGAGGAAAUAAGGCAAGGAGAUUCUGUGACCAGCAGCUAGAGAAAAAUUCACGUUCCCUCUCCAUGUAACAUCCCCAGCAUCCUUCUACACCAAAACUUUGAAGUUGACUUUGGCUGCCUGCCCCUCAGCCCCCAUUUCCAUUUUGUCAACCUCUGGCCUAUUGGAACAAGGAAGUGUAUCUGGAAUUCUCUUCUCUGCAUGUACCUUCCCAGACCCUCGCUGACUCUUCCUUGGACUGUUGAAAAAGCUUCUCUCUGGACUUUUGGCCUCAAGAGAAUAAUGUUUUCAAGGAUCAUCCUGUUGUCUCAGAAUCCCCUACCUUUUUAAGGAAGAAAAAUAUUCUGUUGUAUGACGAUACCAUAAAAUGCCACCUUGACCACCAGGCUGACCGCCAGGAGAGACCUAGCUCUCCCCCAGGGCAGAGAUCUUGAUUUAUGUAACUCUGUGUGCUGACUGGUCACAUGACGCCUGACACACAGUGGAUGCUCAGAAAGUAGUCAAGGAUCUCAGCUGUUGGACUGAACCACUCCAGGGCCCAAGCACUGAUGGAAGGUGCCAUAUGAAGGGAGAGGAAGACUCAGGAUCAACUCCCAGGUUCCUGCAGAACUGGAAGCCAAGAGGGAAACAUACAUCAGAGGCAAAACACAAAAGGCCUCAAAUGCCAGCAAAUACUUUUUUUUAUUCAGUCAAGGAGUCGUUUGAGCCUAGAAUUUCAUGGUCUUAGU